rnacentral:misc_RNA from 1 species
UGGCUCUCGCACCGAUGAAGAACGCAGCGAAAUGCGAUAAGUAAUGUGAAUUGCAGAAUUCAGUGAAUCAUCGAAUCUUUGAACGCACCUUGCACCCUUUGGUAUUCCGAAGGGUACGCCCGUUUGAGUGUCAUUGUAAUCUCACCUCGACCGCUUUGGUGUGGUCAGAGGUGGACUUGGGCCCUGUCGUGUCAUGACGACUGGUCUGAAAUGUGUGAGUGUACCCUGCCUCUGCAGCGUCUUCAGUGUGAUAAGCAUCUUCACUGGAAUUAAGCCCUUGAGGGCACGCAAGCGUGGUGGGCUCUAUGCUUCCAAUUGUCCCUGAGACACCUUGACAAUUUGACCUCAAAUCGGGUGGGACUACCCGCUGA